GACGAACGCUGGCGGCGUGCCUAAUACAAGCAAGUAGGACGCAGUUGCGAACGGGUGAGUAACGCGUAGGUAACUACCUAUUAGAGGGGGAGAACUAUUGGAAACGAUAGCUAAUACCGCAUACUAGUAGAUGGACCGGCGUUGUAUUAGCUAGUAGGUAGGGUAAUGGCCUACCUAGGCAACGAUACAUAGCCGACCUGAGCGGGUGGUCCGCCACACUGGGAAUUAGAACCGGGCCAGACUCCUUAGGGAGGGAGCAGGAGGGAAUCUUCGGGCAUGGGGGGAACCCUGACCGAGCAACGCCGCCUGAGUGAAUAAGGUUUUCGGAUCGGAAAGCUUUGUUGUUAAGGAAGCGGUACUUAACCAGAAAGGGACGGCUAACUACGUGCCAGCCGCCGCGGUAAUUC
rnacentral:rRNA from 1 species